UUUAUCUCAUAUUCCGUUUACCUCGACUCCUCUGUUUUUGUUUAGCUCUGUUUUGGUGAUUUUUUCCUUAUUUUAAGAUCAUGCAUUGUUGAAGCAGGUGAAAGCGAUGAGGCAACUACAACUUAGAAAAUUGAGGCGUGUGGCAAACAAGCAAAUGUGCCGCAAACCUCUGUAGCUGAAUUUAUGAUCUGCUUGGGGGGUCUCGUGUGCUCAUCAUAUUAAUAAGUUAACCUCAUUUUACAUAGUCUGGCCUUUGUGUGAGCAUCAUUAUUCAAUCACUCAACAAUUCGUGCGGGGGUGUUCUUCACGGGGCGCACAAAGCCGGACAAAUAUUUGCGGAUGAAGAAGAAAAUAUCUGAUUUAACACAGGAAAAAUUUAUCGUCGUCCUCAUCUUCCACCUCCAAUCUUUUUAAAUCCCACAGUUACUUUCUCAUGUUGCUUUAUGCAGAUAAUAAUUGAUUUCAGUUCUUAUGAUUUCAGAGCGCAUUUUCCGUAGGCAUGAUGCUCUUUUGUUUUUAUUGCAUGCCACACAUCCAAUUAAAAGCAGGCAAUUAAUAGCUUCAAGCAAUAGGACCGUGAAAGAAUGAGCCCUAAAAUGGGGAAAUUGACAUUCAUUAUCAGGGUCAGCUAUGAUGCCUCCUUAAUGCAUCAUUCUAAACUUACAUUGCCAGCUCAAGGUGAUCUUACGAGGGAAAGUAUUUUUAAGUGCAUCGUUGAUAUUUCCUCGAAAGUGUUCUUCUAUUUGGUUUAUUGUUUGGUACAAAUUGCUAUAGAUGGGUGGUUCUUUUGACGCUAAUAUGUUGGAUUUUUUUUAUAGGCUCCGUUGUUUCAAUUCUUGAUAAUUUGGAACCAUUGCUCCUAAUCAAAACGACUGUUAGAUUUCUUAGGGCCUCGUUUGGGAACAUUCGAUAGAGCUUCAUUAUAUUGUCUAUCAUGCCUAAUCAUGAUUGCCAAACAAGGCUUAAGAGUACAAAAUCAUCAUUUUUGUUAAUCCUUGCAGCUAAAAGAAAAGUUGGAGAAACGUCGAUUAAUGAAAUCAGCUCGAGAUCCCACGAAAUUAUUACAUUGGUAUAUUGUGAUUUUAUUUAAUUUAUUGUUUAUUUAUUCGAUAACUUUUGUCGCAGACUAUUGAAAGCUGUUCUCGUGACUUUUUUGGAAGGGACAAUGCGAGCACUCUUACAGCUGCUGUGAAUUUUGUCGAUUUGGCUGCAAGUGAACGAGCAUCUUAAUCGUUAUCAGCAGGCACAAGGUUAAAAGAAGGCUGUCGUAUUAACCGAAUAGAAUAUUCUGUUUAUUUGUUAUAUGUUGAUUGGGAAGAAGAUUAUUUCUUAGGCUGCAACUUUGCUGAAAUGUGUUGUCCAUUAUUUAUAGGUAUUGAUAUCCUCAAUCAAAAACAUAGUGUUGAAGAACUAAAAACAAUUUAUUUUCUCUCUGUUUUCGACAAUAUAAUUUUUGCAGUGAAAAAUCAAUAUUUGCAUACUAUAAUUUCUGUUUCGUAAAUCGUAUUACUCUAAAAACAGUUGGGACUGUGCUAUUUAUGCUCACUGUUACGCGCAGCUUUCCGAUUGUCGACUUCGGCAAUGCUUCGAUUGCUUCUUCGGGUUUCGGAAAUUUGUUCUGAUGAAUGAUGAUGGUGGAUUUGGUCAUAGAGACUGACAAGAAAUGCGAAGAACUCAUUUUCGA